GUCCUGGCUUUGGAGCAGUUUGGAUAAAAUGAGAACUCUAGGACAUCUUCAUAGAACUAUGAAAGCCCAUCUAAGAUCUGUGGUCAGAGCCCAGUGGAAUCUGGACUUCCCCUCAUGCUGUAUGUGAAGUUGCUGUGGAGCCUGCCCUGCCCCUAUGCUUAUGUAAGAUGCUGUAGGUCCAUGGCAUUCUGGCUGGAGCUCAAAAGUGAAGCAAGUCCAUCAUCACAUGUGGAGUUUCUCUUGCUGCUGUAUUUACUGGAGAGAGAGAAAUACAAAACAGACAGAGAGGAAUUA